rnacentral:rRNA from 1 species
GACGAACGCUGGCGGCGUGCCUAAUACAUGCAAGUAGGACGCAGUUGCGAACGGGUGAGUAACGCGUAGGUAACUACCUAUUAGAGGGGGAUAACUAUUGGAAACGAUAGCUACUACCGCAUACUAGUAGAUGGACCUGCGUUGUAUUAGCUAGUAGGUAGGGUAAUGGGCUACCUAGGCAACGAUACAUAGCCGACCUGGAGGGGGGGGCGGCCAAAACGGGACGGGAGAACGGGCCAGGCGCCUUCGGGGAGCAGGCAGAGGGGAACUUCGGCAAUGGGGGGAAAGCUGACCGAGCAACUGCGCGUGAGUGAAGAAGGGUUUUGGAUCGUAAAGCUCUGUUGUGAAGGAAGCGGUACUUAACCAGAAAGGGACGGCUAACUACGUGCCAGCAGCCGCGGUAAUUC